UGCCCUCUGAGGGAUGAGGGGAGCCGAGGGGAUGGAAGCCCUUCUGAGCUCCACCGCCGUGAGAUGGAGUCCAAGGUGACUACAGAACUGUCAAAUAGGAAUCAUUUGCCAGGUGGGAAUAAGCAAUGGAAAGGAGAAGUAAGAACAUCAGACCACCAGUCAACUCCUCAGACAGGAAGUACACAUGGCUGCCCUCAUGAAGUCAGAACAGCAGCCGGACUGGAAGACCACGUUGAAGUUAGGAGAGGCGAUGUGAAUCAGCGUAAAGUCCCAGAGGAGACUGUGGGUGAACUAGAUUCUUCCACCAAGAAGAUGGAGGUACUUCGAGUCCCAUCUGUUCAAAAAGAGAAGGAUCUGUCUGGGGAGAGUUCUGAUCCAGUUAACGAGGAGGUUGUUGGUCAGAUGUGCUGCCCGGCCUCCGCAGACAAGAAGGUCAAGUGUACAACAAUUGUUACUCUACACAAUGUUGUUCAUGGUUUACCAUCUGAGAAGAAGUCCAAUGUGACGGUCGUAUUAACGUUAGAAAAAGAACACAGCCCAGAGGACAGAGGGAUAGAGUUCCAGCAGGACCGGUCCCUGAGCCCAGGUCAGGAGGGUGAAGCUUCUUCUCCGGUCCUAAGACCUCCACCCAGCCUGACUGACAGCAGCAAGCUAGACCAGCAAGCCACCCCGCAGGUAUCCGGGGACCCAUCGCAAUACACAGGAGAAGGAAGUAGCAUGAGCCCCCCGAUUUGGGACGAUUCAAUUCAAUUCAAUUCAGUUUAUUUGUAUAGCCCAAUUUCACAAAUUACAAAUGAGUGUCCACCACCUACAAUGGGUACCAUCUCCAAGACCCGGAGUCCAAGAGUCAGGACAGAGUCCAGAGAUGCUGGAAAGUGGGACUCUGACUUACAGACUGGGGACGAACCCACCUAUCAGGCAUACGACAACCAAGCUUUCCAGGACAGUGACGACUCUGAUAAGACACCUAUUAUUGUUUUCUUGGAUGAGCCUGUGGACAUCCAGUCAGCCUGCAAACGUCUCUCUACUAUCCUAGAAUGUGAGGAAGAUCUUGAUGGGAUUGUCUCUCCAGAACAUAUCUUGGAUGAAGAGGAGACAAAGCCGGAUGAAGAGAAACAGAACAUGAGAACAAUAAGCAUGACUGAAAUAAAUACAGUCGUUGACAUGAAGGAUACCGGAGGAAAAGGUCAUGAUGUUCUACGGACGCACAAUCACAUCCUUUCAGCAGAUAGUGUCUCAAUUCCAAAAAAACGAGACCAGGGUACACCAGACUCGUCUAGACCGCCAGAGACCAAAAGGAAAUUCAAAUUCAAAUUCCCCAAAAACAAACUGGCUGCAAUUAGCCAAGCCAUUCGUCUCAGGACGACCAGAACAGGAAAGAAGACUCUCAAAGUGGUUGUUUAUGAGGAAGAGGAGGACAAAGCAUCGGACAGCAAGCCAGUGAAGGAGACCAAGAAGCCAACACAAGAAUCCAAGAGGGUUAAGACCAGCAGUACCACACAACUCAACGUGGGUGAAGACAAUGCCCGUGAUAGAGACAUCAAGGUCUCCCCUUCCAUUGAUACUAGACCCUCAAAGUCCGGCAGCCGGCUAGAGAAGCUCUGCAGGAGCACGUUGGACUCCAUGGACAGUCUAGAAGAGUCCAUUAAACAGUUGGAGAUCAGCGUGGACAGUGUGUCCGGCCCUUCUUCUCCCUCCAGCGAAGUGUCCUCACCUCCUGCGUCCCCUGACUCCUCCUGUGACUCCAGGGACAGGACUCAGCUCCAAGGCAAAGUCAAACGAGAGAGGAAGACGAGCCCGUCCAAGAGGCCAGCGUCUCAGACCCUCAAGGGCCCCGAUCCACCUCAGAGUAAGAGAGCCAAGCCCCAAGCUACACAGGACUCAGGAAAAACCUCCACCAAGAAACAGACCUCCAGCAGCAGCUCCGGCUCUUCUGCCCAGCAACCCCACUCCAGAUCUCGUGACUCUCCUUCCUCCCGCUCACCGGAGAAGACGCCAGAGGGCCAGAAGCAGGCCGGCCAGGUCAGCAGUGACUCCUGAGCUGGUGGCCUCUCUCUGGACCUCGGUGGAGGCAGCAGUACCUCCGCCGCUCUGGUUCUCGGGUGGAUUUAAGGAACAAGGGUUUCAGUUCACAGUCAGGAGGCCGAUGAUGAAGCUGGCGGCGCGUUGGCAGGAGGAGCAGCGGAGCCUCCGGGGGUAGGAGCCCUUCCUCUAAGAUCCCCGCCUUGAGCCACAGCUCUGGGAGCCACCCGUCUGCUCACUGCUCAGACACCAGCCAUAGCUUCCCACGCCUGUCCUCCUCCUCCUCAAAGUGUCCUUCCGGCCCGCCUCCUUCUUCCUCGGCCCAGCUUUCCAGGCAACGGGCUCUUACGUGUCCUCUCUCCUCUUCUUCUCCCUCAGACUCCCCACCUCGCUCCCCGUCUCCUUCGCUCGCUUCCUUUCCUGUCUCCUCUCCCUGUCGUCAGUCUUUUAUCCCGUGUCUGAAUCUGAGUCGUCUCCUCUCCUCGUCUAGCCUCCUCGCCUUGUCGUCAUCCCACGCUAACGCCGGCCCGGCCCAACGCCAGCACCGCCUCGCCAUCACCUCCACCCCCCAACACAGCUACUCCUCCUCGGCCUCCUCCUCCUCCCUGCCCCCCACCUCCUCUUCCUCCUCCCUCCUCCGGAUGGUCCAGAUGUCGGCGUCCUCUCCGGGCAAGAAAUGCGGCGAAAGCCAAGAUGGCCGAGUCGGCUGCAUGACGUUCAGGGCAGGAGGAAAGCGUGGGACAACUGAUGACUGAACCUGAUGUUCCUCUCCAGCAACAGUGUGUGACGUUUACCUGAUGAUGUCUUUGGACAAUACAAGUCCGACCUGAUGUCCGAGAGCAACACGGCGUGGACCUGUUCGCAUCUUUUUCAUCGUUAUUUAUUCUUUCUUUUUUUUUUAAUCCAAACCGUGUUUUCAAAGGAUCAAUAUUGAGUGAGCCGAGGUGACGUAGCACACGUUCCUCCAGAGGGCGUGGUUAUUCACCGUGACUGAUGCCUUGAGGCCUCUGAGCUAUAGGUCUGACAACACGAGCCACGCCUCCAUUUACGAAUACGACGCACUAGUUGAAGUAUGGCGUCAUGAAGGCUGCACGGAAACACAAAUAAUGGGUUCCACGUCCUAAACCGUGCUCGAGGGGUUUGAUGAAGUCACAUGACUGAGUGUCUGUGUCCUGGCAACAUGGCACAUGGCCAACACCAGCUGAUGUGGAGGAUACGGGGUCAGACUAAAUAACGCACACAGACUCACAAACGCAAACACAAGACGCGCUCAUGCGAUUGGCUGACGGUGGGAGUGACAUCUGAUUGGCUACAGGCCAGUCGAUGUUGAAAAGAACGCAUUUGUGAAUCGAGCCUCGACAACAGAGGAGUCUCAAAAACCCACAAACAAAGAAAUGGUCAUUUAUUUAUGUGUGCAUCGGAAAGUAUUGGAGAGUCUAAUUUAUUUGUACAUUUAUUCUGUGUGCAUUUGUAAAUCUAAUAUAUUUGUGAAUUGUUCUGUG